GUGCUCGCUUCGGCAGCACAUGUAAUAAAAACAGAAUGAUACAGAGAAGAUCAGCAGGGCCCCUGCGCAGGGAUGACAUGCAAAUCAUCUAUCUGAUAAGGGGUUGA